AGGUAGCUUAACAGAUUAAAGCAUAGCACUGAAAAUGCUUCAAAGAGAGUUAAAGUCCCUCCCUUAGCAGCCGAUUUGGUCCUAGUCCCA
rnacentral:tRNA from 1 species